rfam:Haemophilus parasuis SH0165, complete genome.
ACCGAGGGGGCGAGGAAUACAACACCCGAAAGGGAAAUAACUCCAGCCGUCUUUGUGUGGCUUACGAACCCCUUGGCACCCUAUU